CAAGUUACCAAGUAACAGCAUAUUCUUGCUGUUGCCUACGUUGCUAUUAAUUGUAUGCUUGAGAAAAUAUACAUAAUAUUUUUAAAGUAAAAAAUUAUUAUUCAUAUAAAAUUUUAAUUUUUAUUAUAUAUGAUUGGAUAGUUUAAUCAAAUAUUUAUCUAUAUAAUUUAUUGAUUUUUGACUGCAUAAAUGAAAAUGAAUAAUAUGAAGAUUGAAGGCGGAAAAAAAGACAUGUGAGGCUGAAAAGAUUAGAUAUUCAACUCAUAAAUUAUUUUUUUCAUAUUAUAAUACUAUAUUUUAUAUAAUUAUUUUGUACUUUGAGCUAUUAGAUAUAUUUUUGUAUCAAAUUAUAGAUAAUGUUCUAUACAAAUUAAACUAUUGAUCGUAUAAUGUUGAAAAUUUCAAGCGGCU
rnacentral:lncRNA from 1 species